AUGUGCUCCGGGGGCGGUGGAAUUCCGCACCGGCGGUGAGAGUCCGCGAACCCCGUCCCGUAAGAGGCGGGGCCGAUCCGGUGGAAUUCCGGAACCGACGGUCAGAGUCCGGAUGAGAGGAAGCACAC
rnacentral:ncRNA from 2 species